AAGAUGGCGACCGGCGCACGGGUGAGUAACACGUAUCCAACCUGCCGAUGACUCGGGGAUAGCCUUUCGAAAGAAAGAUUAGUACCCGAUGGCAUAGUUCUUCCGCAUGGUAGAACUAUUAAAGAAUUUCGGUCAUCGAUGGGGAUGCGUUCCAUUAGGUUGUUGGCGGGGUAACGGCCCACCAAGCCUUCGAUGGAUAGGGGUUCUGAGAGGAAGGUCCCCCACAUUGGAACUGAGACACGGUCCAA
rnacentral:rRNA from 1 species